UAUCUCUGUAGAGUCUGCAUAUCAAUAAGCGGAGGAAAAGAAACUAACAAGGAUUCCCUUAGUAACGGCGAGUGAAGCGGGAAGAGCUCAAAUUUGAAAUCUUCAAGGUUCUACCUUGACGAAUUGUAGUUUAAAGAAGUGUUUUCUGUUGGAGUUUCGGUAAAAGUUCUUUGGAAAUAGGACAUCAUAGAGGGUGAGAAUCCCGUAUUUGACCAGUUACUUUCCAGCUGUUGUGAUACACUUUCAAAGAGUCGGAUUGUUUGGGAAUGCAGUCCAAAAUGGGUGGUAAAUUUCAUCUAAAGCUAAAUACUGGCGAGAGACCGAUAGCGAACAAGUACCGUGAGGGAAAGAUGAAAAGAACUUUGAAAAGAGAGUUAAACAGUACGUGAAAUUGUCAAAAGGGAAGCGUUUGACACCAGUGUUGUUUUCUCGAAAAUCAAUUAAAAAAGAUUGGAUUUUGUGUUGUAUUGACUUUAUCAGCUUUCAGCACUCUUUUUCUUGUCUUUUUUAGUGCACUUUUCGUUUAACAAGUCAACAUCAAUUUCUUUUGUUGUAAAAAGGUCAUUGGAAGGUGGCUUUCUUUUCGGAGAAAGUGUUUAUAGCCUUUGACUUCUGCAAUCGGAGAGACUGAGGUCUGCAGCGUAGAUCCUUCUUGGAUUAGAUUCAUUUGUGCUAAGUUAUAGCUUUUCAUAGACAACCUGUUGACUAUGAUCAGUCAUGUAGCUUACUCGCUUAUGUUAUUUUACCUACGCUUAGGAUGUUGAUCUCUCACAGUCGAGC
rnacentral:rRNA from 1 species